CAAAACUCAAAGAUAUCAUGGGCAAGCAGCUGUCCCCCUGUACAAGAAUGAGUAUACCUGGUUGCAGCGUUACAAUCAUAUCAGAGAGUAUGUUGAAGGCGGUUCGGAGGCACCGACUUUUUUCCACAGUUCUAGUGGAGGUGUUCUUCAUAGACUACCGGUAUUUUUCAAGGCAGCCUGGGAGAUGAUGAAUCUGGGGAUUGCCCCCACCUUCAACAUGCUACGUUCCUCCUGUAGCACUUACGCCAAGCGACAGUUGGGACGUAAAUCUUACGACAGAGUGGCAACAUUUAUGUGCCAUGAUGCCAUCACAGCCAAAAGAUUUUAUCAAGCUGAGGACCCUGCAGAGGACACACUCCAGAGCCGAGCACUGACCACCAAUGCAAUUGCAACAUAUGCAGCAAAUAAAAGGAAAAGGAGAGAGGACAGAGGAUCUGUGCAGGACGAGGACAGUGAAGGAUCUGACAAGGAAGAGCAGCAGUCAUCA